rnacentral:sRNA from 1 species
AUGUUUGCUCAAGCAUUGUAAUUAAGAUUGACAUCUGCCAUCAAUAGAUAGGGUAAAAUGUAUACAAACUGAAGCCCCGCCUAUCCAUUGAUUGCAGAUGUGAAUCUUAAUUACAAUGUGUGAGCUUACAA